UUUUGCCUGUCUGUGCUGCUGUACGGUUCCAUGUGCACUUUUCACAGCAUGCAGAAGACAACCAUGUUCUUCUGCAGAGGUCAUCAUCUAUCUGUGGGCCCUCACUAAGCAAGGUCUUGUAUCAGCGCAGCGCUGAAAUCCAGCAACAGGAGCAAAAAUACUUGUCUUACGGUGGCAGCUCUGCAGUGACGAGGGGGGAUGCGGAGUCUGAACCCCCAGCCAGGCACCUGACCGCUGGCACAGCCCCAUGAAGGGGAACAGCAGAGAAUUCGAUGUGAUCUCUGCAUUUACCCUCACAAAAUAGAAAUGUAGACUUCCAAAUAAACUACAGAAGUAAUAACUAAUAGAUCAUCGCAAAAACAUUGUGUGCCCAGUUGAGUUUCUUUCAUGCACUUAACCAGAGACAAUUAUUAUUGCUACUAAGAGAACAAGGGGGGAGCUGAUAAAAGAUUCAGAUGUGAAGAAUUGCCACUGUUGAAGCAGAAAACAAAACAGCAUUAAUCUCUUCCAGAAACUAGCCAAGCCUUGCAUAUUACAUACACUGCAACAGCGACGCAUCAGCCGGGUUUCCACAACUGCAUCUCCAAAGGUGACCAAAAGCAAAGUGCCCGUUAGCGGGAAGUGUUACAUUUAAUGACAAUAUUCAGCUGUCCUGGACAAGCAAACACACAGGGGACUCAGUCUAAGAAUUACUCCUGUAAAUGGUGGCUUCAAGGACUAUAAAUAACCAUUCACUAUUGCCCAGUUCUGUCCUGGUUCAGGGAGGGAUUAAAAUUCAGUGUUUGCCUGCUGCUGUGGGAGCAGUAAAUGCAACACAUGGCGUGGAGUCUGGGCUGGGCAAUGGCAGAAGCUUGAAGGCAUCACAGGCCAGCCAGCUUUCCCUGGGGUACAACGGGUACGUGAACACAGACGUGAGUGUGCGCUCACCCUCAUCAGUCUUUGCACAACGUGUGACCUCAUACACCCUUUCACCCUAUGGCAAAACACGCAUCUCCUUUAACCUCAACGAUGCAACACAGCCUACUUCACCGAUGUGGUCUUCUCCCUGACAUGCAUCAGCUUCAAAACACACCUGCAGAGAGGCAAAGAUC